AGAGAAAGAAGAGAGAGAGAGAGAGAAAGAGAGAGAG
rnacentral:sRNA from 1 species